CUUGCCUGUGUGGAUGGUGUUAAGCACCAAGGUCAGGUCGCUUGCCUGUGUGGAUGGUGUUCAGCACCAAGGUAAGGUCGCUUGCCU
rnacentral:pre_miRNA from 1 species